UCCGUAGGGUGCAAGCGUUAAUCGGAAUUACUGGGCGUAAAGCGUGCGCAGGCGGUUUUGUAAGACCGAUGUGAAAUCCCCGGGCUUAACCUGGGAACUGCAUUGGUGACUGCAAGGCUUGAGUGUGUCAGAGGGAGGUGGAAUUCCGCGUGUAGCAGUGAAAUGCGUAGAUAUGCGGAGGAACACCGAUGGCGAAGGCAGCCUCCUGGGAUAACACUGACGCUCAUGCACGAAAGCGUGGGGAGCAAACAGG
rnacentral:rRNA from 1 species